rnacentral:rRNA from 1 species
AUGGACCUGAGGUUUCUUUCAUAUCAUUAUUCCCCCUUGAAGGUUAUUGAUAUGGCAAGGUUGAAUCAUGAGAACAUAGCAAAGUUUCUGGACUAUUGCAGAGAGAGUGACCUAUUCUCGAGGAUUUUAGUCUUUGAGUACGCAUCAAAUGGGACCCUAUACGAGCACCUACACUAUGGGGAAGCGGCCCAAUUCUCUUGGCUCAGACGAAUGAAAAUAGCCAUCGGCAUCGCCAAAAGUUUAAGGUAUCUGCACACCGAGUCGCGGCCUCCUUUCGCUAUAUCAGAGUUGAAAGCCAAUUCAGUAUACGUUACAGAAGAUUUUACCCCCAAGGCUGACGACGUUGUCUACUGA